rnacentral:tRNA from 1 species
GCCGCCGUAGCACAAUGGCAGUGCGUUGCCUUCCUAUGAUCUAGGCAAAGGUUGUGGGUUCGACCCCCAUCGUCGGUA